CCUACGGGAGGCAGCAGUGGGGAAUAUUGGGCAAUGGAGGAAACUCUGACCCAGCGACGCCGCGUGCGGGAUGAAGGCCUUCGGGUUGUAAACCGCUUUCAGCAGGGAAUAAGCGCAAGUGAAGGUACCUGCAGAAGAAGCACCGGCUAACUAUGUGCCAGCAGCCGCGGUAAUACAUAGGGCGCAAGCGUUGUCCGGAAUUAUUGGGCGUAAAGAGCUCGUAGGUGGUUUGUUACGUCGGAUGUGAAUAUCAGGGGCUCAACCCCUGACCUGCAUUCGAUACGGGCAAGCUGGAGUUUGGUAGGGGAGACUGGAAUUCCUGGUGUAGCGGUGGAAUGCGCAGAUAUCAGGAGGAACACCGAUGGCGAAGGCAGGUCUCUGGGCCAAUACUGACACUGAGGAGCGAAAGCGUGGGGAGCGAACAGGAUUAGAUACCCUGGUAGUCCACGCCGUAAACGGUGGGCACUAGUUGUGCGAACCUUCCACGGUUUGUGCGACGCAGCUAACGCAUUAAGNGCCCCGCGUGGGGAGUACGAUCGCAAGAUUAAAACACGAAAGGAAUUAGACGGCGUGAGACGUAGCGAGACGACGACGAGGGAGAGG
rnacentral:rRNA from 1 species